CCUACGGGUGGCAGCAGUGGGGAAUAUUGCACAAUGGGGGAAACCCUGAUGCAGCGACGCCGCGUGGGUGAAGAAGCGCCUCGGCGCGUAAAGCCCUGUCAGCAGGGAAGAAAAUGACGGUACCUGAAGAAGCAGCCCCGGCUAACUACGUGCCAGCAGCCGCGGUAAUACGUAGGGGGCAAGCGUUAUCCGGAUUUACUGGGUGUAAAGGGGGCGCAGACGGCGAUGCAAGCCAGGAGUGAAAGCCCGGGGCCCAACCCCGGGACUGCUCGUGGAACUGCGUGGCGAGAGUGCAGGAGGGGCAGGCGGAAUUCCUGGUGUAGCGGUGAAAUGCGUAGAUAUCAGGAGGAACACCGGUGGCGAAGGCGGCCUGCUGGACUGCAACUGACGUUGAGGCCCGAAAGCGUGGGGAGCAAACAGGAUUAGAUACCCUUGUAGUC
rnacentral:rRNA from 1 species